rnacentral:tRNA from 1 species
GAAAGCAAAUUUUUUUGCAAUAAACUUUUAAUUUAUUUUUAUCAGUUUUCUGAUUC